rnacentral:tRNA from 1 species
GGGGUUGUGGCUCAGUGGAAGAGCGCUUGCCUUACAUGUGUGAGGCACUGGGUUCAAUCCUCAGCACCA